rnacentral:pre_miRNA from 1 species
CCGAAAUCUGCGCCGGAACCAAGCGGCAUCCAACAUUUGUCACAGCCUUGCUCACCGCCGCGGACAGUAAACCCCUGAACCAUGGGUCGUCAGCAGUAGCUGGUGGCAUCAGCUGCUGCUGUAAACCCGCAGUUAGUGGAUUGGAGUCAGUGGCGGCGAGCACGGCUGUGACAAAUGUUGGAUGCCGCUUGGUGCCGGCGCAGAUUUCGG